GAUGAAGAACGCAGCAAAAUGCGAUAAGUAAUGUGAAUUGCAGAAUUCAGUGAAUCAUCGAAUCUUUGAACGCACAUUGCGCCCGCCAGUAUUCUGGCGGGCAUGCCUGUUCGAGCGUCAUUUCAACCCUCAAGCUCAGCUUGGUGUUGGGACUCGCGGUAACCCGCGUUCCCCAAAUCGAUUGGCGGUCACGUCGAGCUUCCAUAGCGUAGUAAUCAUACACCUCGUUACUGGUAAUCGUCGCGGCCACGCCGUAAAACCCCAACUUCUGAAUGUUGACCUCGGAUCAGGUAGGAAUACCCGCUGAACUUGAGCAUAUCAAUAAGCGGAGGA
rnacentral:misc_RNA from 1 species